rnacentral:rRNA from 1 species
UAUCUCUGUAGAGUCUGCAUAUCAAUAAGCGGAGGAAAAGAAACUAACUAGGAUUCCCUCAGUAACGGCGAGUGAAGCGGGAAGAGCUCAAAUUUGAAAUCUUCAAGGUCCUACCUUGACGAAUUGUAGUUUAAAGAAGUGUUUUCUGUUGGAGUUUUGGUAAAAGUUCUUUGGAAUAGGACAUCAUAGAGGGUGAGAAUCCUGUAUUUGACCAUUAUUUCCAACUUUGUGAUACACUUUCAAAGAGUCGGAUUGUUUGGGAAUGCAGUCCAAAAUGGGUGGUAAAUUUCAUCUAAAGCUAAAUACUGGCGAGAGACCGAUAGCGAACAAGUACCGUGAGGGAAAGAUGAAAAGAACUUUGAAAAGAGAGUUAAACAGUACGUGAAAUUGUCAAAAGGGAAGCGUUUGACACCAGUGUUGUUUUCUCGAAAAUCAAUUAAAAAUGGCGGGAUUUUGUGUUGUAUUGACUUUAUCAGCUUUCUGCACUUUUUUCUUGUCUUUUUUAAUGCACUUUUCGUUUAACAAGUCAACAUCAAUUUCUUUUGUUGUAAAAGGGUCAUUGGAAGGUGGCUUUCUUUUCGGAGAAAGUGUUUAUAGCCUUUGACUUCUGCAAUCGGAGAGAUUGAGGUCUGCAGCGUAGAUCCUUCGGGGUUAGAUGCAUUUGUGCUAAGUUAUAGCCUUUCAUAGACAACUUGUUGACUAUGAUCAGUCAUGUAGCUUACUCGCUUAUGCUAUUUUACCUACGCUUAGGAUGUUGAACGCGCACAGAGUCUC